GGGGGGCGCGGCGCCGCGGGGCGGGCGGGGAAAAGCGGGAGUGCGGGCGGGGCUGGGAAGCCGGGCGCGCUGCGGUCCGGCUCCGAAGCCGGAGCACCGAGGAAGUGAAAGGGACGGGAGCGGCGGGGAGGGCCGCGGCUCGCGCUGUCUGGUGAUAUUUGUUAGGAGGGGAAGAGUUGACCAUUUCACAUUGUAUGAGGAUUGGG